rnacentral:rRNA from 1 species
UACGUAGGGGGCGAGCGUUGUCCGGAUUAUUGGGCGUAAAGCGCGCGUAGGCGGCCGCGCAAGUCGGAUGUGAAACCCGGGGCUCAACCCCGGGCCGUCAUUCGAUACUGCGUGGCUGGAGGCAGGUAGGGGAGAUCGGAAUUCCUGGUGUAGGCGGUGAAAUGGCGCAGAUAUCAGGAGGAACACCGGUGGCGAAGGCGGAUCUCUGGGCCUGUCCUGACGCUGAGGCGCGAAGCGUGGGUAG